CAGGUUUGGGAAUUCUUUGGUUAAACUUUGAGGUUGAGAAAACAGUCUGCUUCCGACAACACAACCACUGAUACGUUGUUUUUAUCGGUAAACUGCUUGCCCAGCCGUCUCAUAGCAAUUUUUUAAUGACUUUUCAAUAUUCAGUCUCAGAAAAGGCUCAGUCUUCAUCUUUAAUUAAAGAAGAUUAAAGACAAGAAAGCCUUAGAGAAAUGUUUGAUGAACAUCUUGAGGAAGAUAUGAAAGCAGCAGAAAACAAAAAGGUGUGGCAAGCGGGACAACCUACCCACCACAUUGUCCUUCUGAUGUGGCUGGUCAAGGUUACUGUUUUGCUCUUCUGACACAUUAUCAAUUAUCCUGCCAACAGACUGAUACCGGACCUGUAGUUUCC
rnacentral:lncRNA from 1 species